GCCAGACUCCUACGGGAGGCAGCAGUGGGGGAUAUUGCACAAUGGGGGAAACCCUGAUGCAGCGACGCCGCGUGAGUGAAGAAGUAUUUCGGUAUGUAAAGCUCUAUCAGCAGGGAAGAAAAAAGACGGUACCUGACUAAGAAGCCCCGGCUAACUACGUGCCAGCAGCCGCGGUAAUACGUAGGGGGCAAGCGUUAUCCGGAUUUACUGGGUGUAAAGGGAGCGUAGACGGCAAUACAAGUCGGAAGUGAAAUACCCGGGCUUAACCUGGGAACUGCUUUGGAAACUGUAUGGCUGGAGUGCUGGAGAGGUAAGCGGAAUUCCUAGUGUAGCGGUGAAAUGCGUAGAUAUUAGGAGGAACACCAGUGGCGAAGGCGGCUUACUGGACAGUAACUGACGUUGAGGCUCGAAAGCGUGGGGAGCAAACAGGAUUAGAUACCCCCGUAGG
rnacentral:rRNA from 1 species